rnacentral:rRNA from 1 species
UACGAAGGACCCGAGCGUUAUCCGGAUUUACUGGGUUUAAAGGGUGCGUAGGUGGAUUGGGUAGUCAGUGGUGAAAUACUUUCGCUUAACGAAGGAACUGCCAUUGAUACUCUCAAUCUUGAAUACAGUGGAGGCAGGCGGAAUGUGUCAUGUAGCGGUGAAAUGCUUAGAUAUGACACAGAACACCUAUUGCGAAGGCAGCUUGCUACACUGUGAUUGACACUGAGGCACGAAAGCGUGAGGAUCAAACAGG